rnacentral:rRNA from 1 species
AUGAACGCUAGCGGCAGGCUUAACACAUGCAAGUCGAGGGGCAGCAUAAUGGAUAGCAAUAUCUAUGGUGGCGACCGGCGCACGGGUGCGUAACGCGUAUGCAACCUACCUUUAACAGGGGGAUAACACUGAGAAAUUGGUACUAAUACCCCAUAAUAUCAUAGAAGGCAUCUUUUAUGGUUGAAAAUUCCGAUGGUUAGAGAUGGGCAUGCGUUGUAUUAGCUAGUUGGUGGGGUAACGGCUCACCAAGGCGACGAUACAUAGGGGGACUGAGAGGUUAACCCCCCACACUGGUACUGAGACACGGACCAGACUCCUACGGGAGGCAGCAGUGAGGAAUAUUGGUCAAUGGACGCAAGUCUGAACCAGCCAUGCCGCGUGCAGGAUGACGGCUCUAUGAGUUGUAAACUGCUUUUGUACGAGGGUAAACGCAGAUACGUGUAUCUGUCUGAAAGUAUCGUACGAAUAAGGAUCGGCUAACUCCGUGCCAGCAGCCGCGGUAAUACGGAGGAUUCAAGCGUUAUCCGGAUUUAUUGGGUUUAAAGGGUGCGUAGGCGGUUUGAUAAGUUAGAGGUGAAAUUUCGGGGCUCAACCCUGAACGUGCCUCUAAUACUGUUGAGCUAGAGAGUAGUUGCGGUAGGCGGAAUGUAUGGUGUAGCGGUGAAAUGCUUAGAGAUCAUACAGAACACCGAUUGCGAAGGCAGCUUACCAAACUAUAUCUGACGUUGAGGCACGAAAGCGUGGGGAGCAAACAGGAUUAGAUACCCUGGUAGUCCACGCAGUAAACGAUGAUAACUCGUUGUCGGCGAUACACAGUCGGUGACUAAGCGAAAGCGAUAAGUUAUCCACCUGGGGAGUACGUUCGCAAGAAUGAAACUCAAAGGAAUUGACGGGGGCCCGCACAAGCGGAGGAACAUGUGGUUUAAUUCGAUGAUACGCGAGGAACCUUACCCGGGCUUGAAUUGCAACUGAAUGAUGUGGAGACAUGUCAGCCGCAAGGCAGUUGUGAAGGUGUUGCAUGGUUGUCGUCAGCUCGUGCCGUGAGGUGUCGGGUUAAGUCCCAUAACGAGCGCAACCCCUACCGUUAGUUGCCAUCAGGUCAAGCUGGGCACUCUGGCGGGACUGCCGGUGUAAGCCGAGAGGAAGGUGGGGAUGACGUCAAAUCAGCACGGCCCUUACGUCCGGGGCUACACACGUGUUACAAUGGUAGGUACAGAGGGCAGCUACCCAGCGAUGGGAUGCGAAUCUCGAAAGCCUAUCUCAGUUCGGAUUGGAGGCUGAAACCCGCCUCCAUGAAGUUGGAUUCGCUAGUAAUCGCGCAUCAGCCAUGGCGCGGUGAAUACGUUCCCGGGCCUUGUACACACCGCCCGUCAAGCCAUGGGAGCCGGGGGUGCCUGAAGUUCGUGACCGCAAGGAGCGACCUAGGGCAAAACUGGUGACUGGGGCU